GAUGAACGCUAGCUACAGGCUUAACACAUGCAAGUCGAGGGGCAGCAUUUUUAGUUUUGCUUUGCAAACUGAAGAAGGCGACCGGCGCACGGGUGAGUAACACGUAUCCAACCUGCCGAUAACUCCGGGAUAGCCUUUCGAAAGAAAGAUUAAUACCGGAUAGUAUACGAAUAUCGCAUGAUAUUUUUAUUAAAGAAUUUCGGUUAUCGAUGGGGAUGCGUUCCAUUAGUUUGUUGGCGGGGUAACGGCCCACCAAGACUACGAUGGAUAGGGGUUCUGAGAGGAAGGUCCCCCACAUUGGAACUGAGACACGGUCCAAACUCCUACGGGAGGCAGCAGUGAGGAAUAUUGGUCAAUGGGCGCGAGCCUGAACCAGCCAAGUAGCGUGAAGGAUGAAGGCUCUAUGGGUCGUAAACUUCUUUUAUAUGGGAAUAAAGUUUUCCACGUGUGGAAUUUUGUAUGUACCAUAUGAAUAAGGAUCGGCUAACUCCGUGCCAGCAGCCGCGGUAAUACGGAGGAUCCGAGCGUUAUCCGGAUUUAUUGGGUUUAAAGGGAGCGUAGGUGGAUUGUUAAGUCAGUUGUGAAAGUUUGCGGCUCAACCGUAAAAUUGCAGUUGAAACUGGCAGUCUUGAGUACAGUAGAGGUGGGCGGAAUUCGUGGUGUAGCGGUGAAAUGCUUAGAUAUCACGAAGAACUCCGAUUGCGAAGGCAGCUCACUAGACUGUCACUGACACUGAUGCUCGAAAGUGUGGGUAUCAAACAGGAUUAGAUACCCUGGUAGUCCACACAGUAAACGAUGGAUACUCGCUGUUUGCGAUAUACAGUAAGCGGCCAAGCGAAAGCAUUAAGUAUUCCACCUGGGGAGUACGCCGGCAACGGUGAAACUCAAAGGAAUUGACGGGGGCCCGCACAAGCGGAGGAACAUGUGGUUUAAUUCGAUGAUACGCGAGGAACCUUACCCGGGCUUAAAUUGCAACAGAAUAUAUUGGAAACAGUAUAGCCGUAAGGCUGUUGUGAAGGUGCUGCAUGGUUGUCGUCAGCUCGUGCCGUGAGGUGUCGGCUUAAGUGCCAUAACGAGCGCAACCCUUAUCUUUAGUUACUAACAGGUUAUGCUGAGGACUCUAGAGAGACUGCCGUCGUAAGAUGUGAGGAAGGUGGGGAUGACGUCAAAUCAGCACGGCCCUUACGUCCGGGGCUACACACGUGUUACAAUGGGGGGUACAGAAGGCCGCUACCUGGUGACAGGAUGCUAAUCCCAAAAACCUCUCUCAGUUCGGAUCGAAGUCUGCAACCCGACUUCGUGAAGCUGGAUUCGCUAGUAAUCGCGCAUCAGCCAUGGCGCGGUGAAUACGUUCCCGGGCCU
rnacentral:rRNA from 1 species